AGUAAUCGCGUAUCAACAUUGCGCGGUGAAUAUGUCCCUGCUCCUUGCACACACCGCCCGUCAAACCAUGCGAGUGAGGUCUGGGUGAGGGCGUGAUCUCUAUCACGUUCGAACCUGGGCUUCGCAAGUGGGGUUAAGUCGUAACAAGGUAGCCGUAGGGGAAUCUGCGGCUGGAUCACCUCCU
rnacentral:rRNA from 1 species